AAAUUUAAAAUUGUUUUCGAGUUAAAAAAAAAAUAAAAAUGUAUUCCUUAAAAAAUAUAUACAUUUUGUUAUUUUGUUUAUUUUUAAGUCUUUAUUUGACGACAAUAAAUGCCGCGUGCAAAAGAGAAGGUAAAUGGUGUAAUCCAGACAGUCCAUCAAAUGGAUGCUGUACCAAUGUGUGUUCUAAAAUGUUUAGAACUUGUCUUGGAUAAAUCAAAAUUUACUUGAAAAUUUAAAAAUAAACAAUUAUUUAAUUACUACAAGUUUUUUUCGCGAUCAACAAUAAUAGAAAUAAAAAAAAAAAAAAAAUUGCAGUGAAAUUCAAAAAGAAAUGUAAUUUUCUUGUACGAAUAAAUAAAAUUGAAAUUGUA